rnacentral:rRNA from 1 species
CCUACGGGUGGCUGCAGUGGGGGAUAUUGCACAAUGGGGGGAACCCUGAUGCAGCGACGCCGCGUGGGUGAAGAAGCGCCUCGGCGCGUAAAGCCCUGUCAGCAGGGAAGAAAAUGACGGUACCUGAAGAAGAAGCCCCGGCUAACUACGUGCCAGCAGCCGCGGUAAUACGUAGGGGGCAAGCGUUAUCCGGAUUUACUGGGUGUAAAGGGGGCGCAGACGGCGAUGCAAGCCAGGAGUGAAAGCCCGGGGCCCAACCCCGGGACUGCUCUUGGAACUGCGUGGCUGGAGUGCAGGAGGGGCAGGCGGAAUUCCUGGUGUAGCGGUGAAAUGCGUAGAUAUCAGGAGGAACUCCGAUUGCGAAGGCAGUUCACUGGACUGCAACUGACACUGAGGCUCGAAAGUGUGGGUAUCAAACAGGAUUAGAUACCCUGGUAGUC